ensembl:snoRNA
AAUGCCCCUAGAGGCGUUGCAGUUGUGGCUGCUUGUCACAGCUGUGCCAGUGGUGGGCAGGGAGCAGAGGCUACGUCUAUGCUCGGUGUUCUGACCUAUGAACGUUUGAAUGAUUAGUAGCCUGACACU